ACACACAUUACAGUAAAACCAACAGUGCCCUCGUUCCACCCUGAAUCUAGAAGAAAGAAGAUAGACAUAAUUUUUUACUAUGGGUAGGUCACUGGAGGUAUAGUUGCUAAGGCAUAGAAUUUAUUAGUGUAAAAUCAACGAUAAAUCAUUUCAAUUAAAAACCAAAUCUGACUUGAGCUCAUCGCUGUAAAGUGGUAAGCAAUUUGUGUAGCCAAAAUAAUCCAGAAAACGAAAAAAAAAACCAAUAACUAUGCAUCUUUUAAGCAUUUUACAUUUUUUUAGAAAUAAACGAAAAAAAAUAUUAGAAUAGAGUACUAGCGGGUAAAAUAUUCGUGACUUAGGGCCUUAGGUAUAAGUUACAAAUGUACAAUGUAAACAAUUUGGAGCAUUUUGAACAAUUGAAAAUUAUUUUCCGAGAGUUAAAACUCGAGGUAAAACGAAUCGCUAUACAGUAAUACUUUAAAAACUGAUAUUAUAAUUGUAAAUUA